rnacentral:lncRNA from 1 species
ACAUUCCACAGUGCGAACAGCAGGCAGAACUUCUCAGAGAGGAGACUAGCAGCUACCUUUUAAGUCUUCUAGGUCAUUUUCAAUGAUUUGUAACUGGUUCAAGUCCCUCUACCUGUGAGAAGGGGAACAGAGAGCCUGGAACCCAGAGGAUCUGAUCCCAAAGCUAUCCCUUCUCUCACUCUCUUGGAUGGUCUCUGUCAUCAGGUUGCUCACAGGCACCAAUAAGGGUGGAGGGGACAAUCUACAGUGCCACAGAGCCUGUUGAUACUGUGCUGUCGCUCACACCUUCAGUCCAAGCUUGCUGCAGUGCCGCAUCCAUGUAAAGGCUUCCCCUGACUGUGGGUUGGACAAUAUGUGUUGGUACCAUGCUCCAGUCCUGCCUGUCCUCAUCUCUGACUCUCUUGAGUGAAGACUUUGAACAUCUUCACGGAUACCUGAAUUGCUGAUUGAUGACCAUUCCCUACACAUCCCACUGUCCUGCUGCACUGGCUGGUCCUGGAGACACAGACCCCUGGAACAACAGUGAGCUAAAAAAAAUCAGUGCCACCUGACCCCGUGGUAUCGUAUGCUUCACAGCACCAUAGCAGGAUUAGCUUGACUUAUGUUAGAACAUAAAUAUGUAUUACAUUUCUUAAAGUGACCUAUUUGAUAAACAGAAUUGCUGAGCAUUUUUGAGGGUAUGCCUAAGGGUGUUAUAAAAACUAUAUCAAGAUAAACAGGGUACUGUGAAUCAAGAAAAUAGAGCUAGCUCUGCCCUCAGGUGAGGCAAGCAUAAGAAAUGUGGCUUACGGACCUCCUCCAGUGAUGUCAUCUAAGCCCACCAGCAGUACUUCUGUGUCUGUCCACUUGUUCACUCUAACAUAUGCUAAGCUCCUACCGUGUGCCAAGUACUGUGUUCAGGGAACUCAAGGGCAAGGUCCUACCUGGACAGAAGGUUCCCUCAAAAAUUUAAUGAGCUACACUGACUGAGAAGAACAGAAACAUGGCCAUGGUCCCUCGGCAUGGCUACAGCACCAAAUGGAAAACUGCCAAUGGACAAACAUCUUUACAUUUAGCAUUAACACGAUUAGUGACUCCAGGCAAGAGUCUCAGAGAGUACUACAGAAAGACUAGCACAAAGACAAUUCUUUCCCUGAGUAGCCCCAAAUGCUGGGAUACAGGGUCUGCAAGACACAUCUUAUGUGAGAGAUCCUCACUUGUCCCUAUCCAUGGCUACUCGCCCUCUUCAUAUCACUGAGGCCAUGAGGAAUAGCAGAGAGAAGGCGGCAGUGUGAGUGGGAGAGAGAGAGACCAGAUCUUUUCAUUAUGGAGUACUAUAAUUGGAAAGUAGAAUCCAACCAGAACGAUCAAACCAAACACCAAAAAAGAAAAGCCUACAUCUGCUCUUCUGAGGGAAACUGAGAAGGGGUCUGGGAGUAUCUGAGGUAGAGCUUGGGCUGCAGAACUACUGCGUGGAACACAAAUUGAAGAAGCCCCUGUGAGCCCUUCUUUGACUCCCGGCAGAUAUGUGUCUGGCGAGGAGGCAGUCGCCAGUCCCCUUCCUAAUUCUUCCCUUAGAAAAGAGAAACUGUGAAUGGUUAGAUUAAAUUAUUGCUAUGCAUCAACAGUGAUACUAAUACAUCCAUGCUCCACCAUAAGAGGGGAUCGCUGGUAACAAAAGACUCCAGUCAGUGUUUCACGCAGCUACCAUUCAACACACCUACUCCAUUCCUAAGAACCUGCCUGAGGAAGUAAACCACAUGGCUACUACAGCCUGGUACAUUGGUAUUUACAGCAACUUUAACUUGGGAUAAUAACAAAACAACAGCAGCAACAACAACAACAACAAAAUCUAGCAGCAACCCAAGUUUUCAUCAACCAAUAUCAUACAUCUAUACAGUAGAACACUAUUCAUCACUUAAAAUGAACCGUGUGUCUAGGCAUUAAUGGAUGAAUCUCAAAAUUAUUAUUCCAAGGAAAAGAAGUCAGACAAAAGGAAGCAUAUGCUCUAUAUUUUGAUGUGUGCGUGCGUGCAUGCGUGCAUUUUUUUUCUCCCUAGGGAGUACCAACUAAUUCAUAAUGAGAGUUAGCCGACCAAUGUGUGUCUGUGUGGUAGGGAGCAACAUGAAGGAAGAGAGCAAAAAAGGACCACAAAAAAUGAUGUGAGAAUUUGUAAGGUGAUGAAUUCAUUCAUUGUCUUUGUUGUGAUUAUGGCUUUCAGGGUGUGUAUGAUGUCAAAAGUAAGAACACUGUACACUUUAAAUAAAUGCUGUUUGCUGAGUUCUCGCUGCACCUGUUAGGAAAAUGGUAGUAGAGAAUGUUCUGGAAGGCUGUACGCAAGAAUAUAAAUUGAUGGAUUCCUCUUGGAAAGCAGUUUGGCUUUUCUUUGAUACUACUUUUAAAUCUGUAUCCUAGAGACAUAAAAUGAGAUACAACAGUUUCACUCCUGGAGCAUUUACAAUGGUGGGGGGAAAAAGCAAGGAAAUACUAAUGUAUUUGAUGAAAAAAAACCUGUCCCAAUAAAUCAUGGUUCUCACAUAUUGAAAUAUUAUGCAGCCGUUAAAGGCCAUGCUUAUGAGAAGCUUUUAAUAACCUGGGAGAAUACUUAUGUGAUGGUGCCAAGUAGAAAGCACCAAGAUAUAAAUUGUAUAUGUAGUGUGAAUUGAAUUAUGUAAAAUUAUGCACAGAAAAAUCUCUGAAAUAUCUUUGGGAUUAUUUCUGAGUGAUAUAGGGUAUGGGUGAUAUUUUUUUAAUCUCUUAAUGCAAAUUUUGAAAUGUCCCUAUUUAAAAUGUAUUUCCUUAAUUUUCUACAAUAAGACUGUAUUUUUAAAUUGUGAAAUAAAUAAGCUAUCUUCAAGG